rnacentral:rRNA from 1 species
UACGUAGGUGGCAAGCGUUGUCCGGAAUUAUUGGGCGUAAAGCGCGCGCAGGUGGUCCUUUAAGUCUGAUGUGAAAGCCCACGGCUCAACCGUGGAGGGUCAUUGGAAACUGGGGGACUUGAGUGCAGGAGAGAAAAGUGGAAUUCCACGUGUAGCGGUGAAAUGCGUAGAAAUGUGGAGGAACACCAGUGGCGAAGGCGACUUUUUGGCCUGUAACUGACACUGAUGAGCGAAAGCCAGGGGAGCAAACGGG